AUUGAACGCUGGCGGCAUGCCUUACGCAUGCGAGUCGAACGGUAACAGGUCUUCGGAUGCUGACGAGUGGCGAACGGGUGAGUAAUACAUCGGAACGUGCCCGAUCGUGGGGGAUAACGAAGCGAAAGCUUUGCUAAUACCGCAUACGAUCUACGGAUGAAAGCAGGGGACCGCAAGGCCUUGCGCGAACGGAGCGGCCGAUGGCAGAUUAGGUAGUUGGUGGGAUAAAAGCUUACCAAGCCGACGAUCUGUAGCUGGUCUGAGAGGACGACCAGCCACACUGGGACUGAGACACGGCCCAGACUCCUACGGGAGGCAGCAGUGGGGAAUUUUGGACAAUGGGCGAAAGCCUGAUCCAGCCAUGCCGCGUGCAGGAUGAAGGCCUUCGGGUUGUAAACUGCUUUUGUACGGAACGAAAAGACUCUGGUUAAUACCUGGGGUCCAUGACGGUACCGUAAGAAUAAGCACCGGCUAACUACGUG
rnacentral:rRNA from 1 species